rnacentral:rRNA from 1 species
AUUGAACGCUGGCGGCAUGCCUUACACAUGCAAGUCGAACGGCAGCACGGACUUCGGUCUGGUGGCGAGUGGCGAACGGGUGAGUAAUAUAUCGGAACAUACCUUGUAGUGGGGGAUAACUAUCCGAAAGGAUAGCUAAUACCGCAUACGCUCUAAGGAGGAAAGCGGGGGAUCGUAAGACCUCGUGCUAUAAGAGCGGCCGAUAUCUGAUUAGCUAGUUGGUGAGGUAAAGGCUCACCAAGGCGACGAUCAGUAGCUGGUCUGAGAGGACGACCAGCCACACUGGAACUGAGACACGGUCCAGACUCCUACGGGAGGCAGCAGUGGGGAAUUUUGGACAAUGGGGGCAACCCUGAUCCAGCAAUGCCGCGUGAGUGAAGAAGGCCUUCGGGUUGUAAAGCUCUUUUGUCAGGGAAGAAACGGUUGUGGCUAAUAUCCAUGGCUAAUGACGGUACCUGAAGAAUAAGCACCGGUUAACUACGUGCCAGCCGCCGCCGUAA